rnacentral:rRNA from 1 species
CCUACGGGGGGCAGCAGUGAGGAAUAUUGGUCAAUGGGCGGAAGCCUGAACCAGCCAAGUCGCGUGAGGGAAUAAGGCCCUACGGGUCGUAAACCUCUUUUGCCGGGGAGCAAGGGCGGGGACGUGUCCCGGCCCGGAGAGUACCCGGAGAAAAAGCAUCGGCUAACUCCGUGCCAGCAGCCGCGGUAAUACGGAGGAUGCGAGCGUUAUCCGGAUUUAUUGGGUUUAAAGGGUGCGUAGGCGGAAGGUUAAGUCAGCGGUAAAAUGUCGGUGCUCAACACCGGCCUGCCGUUGAAACUGGUCUGCUUGAGUGAGGGAGAAGUAUGCGGAAUGCGUGGUGUAGCGGUGAAAUGCAUAGAUAUCACGCAGAACUCCGAUUGCGAAGGCAGCAUACCGGCGCUCAACUGACGCUGAGGCACGAAAGCGUGGGGAUCGAACAGGAUUAGAUACCCCGGUAGUC